GAAAGUAAUGAAGGGCGUACGGUGGAUGCCUAGGCUCUUACAGGCGAUGAAGGACGUGAUAAGCUGCGAAAAGCCGCGGUGAGGCGCAAAUGGCCCUUGACCCGCGGAUCUCCGAAUGGGACAACCCAAUAUCUUGAAGAGAUAUUAUCCCGCCGAUGCGGGAGGCGAACGCGGGGAACUGAAACAUCUUAGUACCCGCAGGAAAAGAAAAUAAAGAAUGAUUCCCCCAGUAGUGGCGAGCGACCGGGGAAGAGCCCAAACCGACGUUGUCUCGGCAUCGUCGGGGUUGUAGGACCGCGCCAUCGCAAGAAAGGCCGUGAGUGGAAGCGACUGGAAAGCCGCGCCAUAGAGGGUGACAGCCCCUUACACGAAGCAGCCUGAAGCGUAGCGGACUCCUGAGUAGCGCGGGACACGAGUAAUCCUGUGUGAAUCCGCCGGGCCCAUCCGGCAAGGCUAAAUACUCGUAAGAGACCGAUAGUGAACCAGUACCGUGAGGGAAAGGUGAAAAGUACCCCUUGCAGGGGAGUGAAAUAGUUCCUGAAACCGUACGCCUACAAGCGGUCGGAGCAUCUUGAAUGAUGUGACGGCGUGCCUUUUGCAUAAUGAACCUACGAGUUGCCGUCACCAGCGAGGUUAAGUGCGAUGACGCACCGAGCCGCAGCGGAAGCGAGUCUUAAAAGGGCGCGAUAGUUGGUGGAGGCAGACGCGAAACCGAGUGAUCUACACUUGUCCAGGAUGAAGUCCCGGUAACACGGGAUGGAGGUCCGCACCAAUAAGCGUUGAAAAGCUUCUGGAUGAGGUGAGUGUAGGAGUGAAAGGCCAAUCAAACUCGGAGAUAGCUCGUACUCCCCGAAAGGCAUUUAGGUGCCGCCUGUGGCGUUCCCGACGUGAGGUAGAGCGACUGAUAGGAUGCGAGGGCUUCACCGCCUAUCAAGUCCUGACAAACUCCGAAUGCACGUCGGCCAAGCCAUGGAGUAAGGGCAUGGGUGCUAAGGUCCGUGCCCGAGAGGAGAAGAAUCCAGACCACCGGCUAAGGUCCCGAAAUACUGGUUAAGUUAGACUAACGCAGUCCGGCCCCCAAGACAGCUAGGAUGUUGGCUUGGAAGCAGCCAUUCAUUCAAAGAGUGCGUAACAGCUCACUAGUCGAGGAGCUGGGCGUGGAUAAUAAUCGGGUAUAAAACCAGUUACCGAAGCCGUGGGAUGCUUAAGCAUCGGUAGGGGAGCAUUGCAUGCGGCUUAGAAGGCGGGGCGCGAGCCCCUCUGGAGCGCAUGGAAACGCAAAUGUAGGUAUAAGUAACGACAAGGGGGGUGGGAUGCCCCCCCGCCGAAAGACCAAGGUUUCCUGAACAACGCUAAUCGGUUCAGGGUCAGUCGGGUCCUAAGCAUAAGCCGUAUGGCGAGGGCGAUGGAUGAAACGGUUAAUAUUCCGUUACUGUCUUGGUGUGUGACGCGGCGACGGAGUAGUGACACGGCCGCCUCCUGACGGAAAAGGGGGUUGAAGCGCAAAGGUGUCGAGGAAGGCAGGCAAAUCCACCUUCCGAGCCGAAGCGCGAUAGUACGCCGCGCCCUUUUGGGCAAGGCGAUAGUGCCGGUAAUCAGACUUCCAAGAAAACCCGCUAAACUUCAGCACCAAGUCACCCGUACUCUAAACGGACACACGUGGUCGGGUAGAAUAUACUAAGGCGCUUGGGAGAUUCACGGUUAAGGAACUAGGCAAAUUGACCCCGUACCUUCGGAAUAAGGGGUCCUCGCUUUUGCGAGGCGCAGAGAAUAGGUCCAGGCAACUGUUUAACAAAAACACAGGGCUGUGCAAAUUUGAAAGAAGAAGUAUACAGCCUGACACCUGCCCGGUGCCGGAAGGUUAAGAGGAGAGCUCAUCAGCGAUGAGAAGGUUUGAAUUGAAGCCCCGGUAAACGGCGGCCGUAACUAUAACGGUCCUAAGGUAGCGAAAUUCCUUGUCGGGU
rnacentral:rRNA from 1 species